rnacentral:rRNA from 1 species
AUUGAACGCUGGCGGCAUGCUUUACACAUGCAAGUCGAACGGCAGCGCGGACUUCGGUCUGGCGGCGAGUGGCGAACGGGUGAGUAAUGCAUCGGAACGUGCCCAGUCGUGGGGGAUAACGCAGCGAAAGCUGCGCUAAUACCGCAUACGAUCUCUGGAUGAAAGCGGGGGACCGAAAGGCCUCGCGCGAUUGGAGCGGCCGAUGUCCGCUUAGGUAGUUGGUGGGGUAAAGGCUCACCAAGCCAACGAUCUGUAGCUGGUCUGAGAGGACGACCAGCCACACUGGGACUGAGACACGGCCCAGACUCCUACGGGAGGCAGCAGUGGGGAAUUUUGGACAAUGGGCGCAAGCCUGAUCCAGCAAUGCCGCGUGCAGGAAGAAGGCCUUCGGGUUGUAAACUGCUUUUGUACGGAACGAAACGGUCCUGGUUAAUACCUGGGGCUAAUGACGGUACCGUAAGAAUAAGCACCGGCUAACUACGUGCCAGCCGCCGCGGUAAAAC